rnacentral:tRNA from 1 species
GCUCGUCGGGCUCAUAACCCGAAGGUCGUUGGUUCAAAUCCAACUCCCGCAACCA